GCCAUAUCAUACUAUUUCUACUAUUUUUGGGGAGAUGAAUUCUUCCCAUGUAUUAGGGGGCGGCGGGAUUCGUAUCGUAUUGAUGUUGGGUUGAUGGUAUUGAUAUUCCUCCUACACCAGGUUCCUCCCGGGGAAUGCAUGAACAAAACGUUCUUCCAUCUGCCAAACGUGGCCUGAUUCGUUGAUAGAAGGGAAAUGUGAUGGAAGAGUUUCUGUUUCAGUGCUUUUCUUGACGAUACACUGUUCUUGACCCCUACGCGGCUAGGACUGUUUACCCUGCAGGAUUGCCCUUGGGAAAUGGCGGCUAAAGAGCAGAUAUUCGAGUGGCAAUGGUUCGAAUUUUCGAUUUCAGCCUGAGAUUUCGUAUCUCCUGUAUUGGCUGGCCGAAUGGGCCGUCGAAAGAACCAAAGCUGAGAGCUGGAUUGGUAUGAUUUGUUCCUUAUACAGAAAUUUAUUUUCACAUUCUUACUACGACGC
rnacentral:sRNA from 1 species